GAAAAUUUCAAUACAAGUAUAUGGUGGAUGCCUUGACAUAAGAAGACUAUGAAGGACGUAGCAGCCUGCGAUAAGCUUCGGUGAGGUGGCAAGCAACCUUUGACCCGGAGAUUUCCGAAUGGGGAAACCUAUCCCAUUGAAGAUGGGAUGUCCGCUACCUGAACACAUAGGGUAGUGAGAUGAUAACCCGGUGAAUUGAAACAUCUUAGUAGCCGGAGGAAAAGAAAAAAAUUUCGUGUCUCACUAAUGUUCGACACAAGAAUUUUUAAUUUUAUAAUUUUUAAUUUUAUAAAUAAUUUUUAAUGAUUUAAUUUUCAAAUAAUUAAACUAAAAAUAGUUUUAGUGUUUGGAAAUUGAAAAAUUGAGAUUUGUUUGAAAAUUGAAAAUUGAAAAUUCUUAGUGGCGAGCGAUAGCGAGGCGCGAAUAUAUUCCCUUAGUAGCGGCGAGCGAAAAGGGAGGAGCCUAAACUUUAUAAACCGCGUGAAAUAGAGGUUGUUUUACUUCGGUAAAACAACUGAAAUUUUGCAAAAGGCGCCAAAGCCACAUGUUUAUAAAGUGUUAUAAGAUGAUUGCUUUUGUUUUUUGGAUAAAACAAAACAAAGUAAAAAACAACAUUUUUAAUUGAAGCGAGCUGGAAAGCUCAACCAAAGAGGGUGAUAGUCCUGUAAAUAAAAAAAAUGUUGCUUUGUUGCGGUUAUUCUUAAGUACUGCGGGACUCGUGAAAUCCCGUGGGAAUUUGGGUUGACUAUAACCCAAGGCUAAAUACUUCUUAUGAUCGAUAGUGAACUAGUACCGUGAGGGAAAGGUGAAAAGCAUCCCUGUUAGGGAGGUGAAAUAGUACCUGAAACCAUAUACUUACAAAGAGUAGGAGCUCCGUGUCUCACUAGCGUUCGACACGAAUUUUCAAUUUUCAAUUUUCAUCCCUCUCCAGUUUUAAUAAACUGGGGAGGGAUGAAAAUUGAAAAUUGAAAAUUCUUCGUGGCGAGCGAUAGCGAGGCGCGAAGUGACUGCGUGCCUAUUGAAGAAUGAGCCAACGAGUUUGUUCUAUGUGGCUUGCCCCAUUAGAUAAUUUUAUAUCUAACGGGGCUUGCAUAAAUUCCGUUUGGAAAAUAUGCAUAGUGAAAGCGAGGGUUAAUAGCCCGAAUGCGUGAAACGCAUAACGUAAAACGCAUAACGAUUUUUAAUAAUUUUCGUUAUGCGUUACGCGUUGUGCGUUACGCGAUCAGUCGCAUGGACAAGACCCGAAGCCGUGUGAUCUAGCCAUGGCCAGGUUGAAGUCCGCCGAAAGGCGGAUGGAGGACCGAACCCACUAGUCGUGCAACACUAGGGGAUGAGCUGUGGUUAGCGGUGAAAUUCCAAUCGAACUCGGCAAUAGCUGGUUCUCCUCGAAAUAGCUUUAGGGCUAGCCUCGAGCACUAACUGUAGGGGGUAGAGCACUGAAUGAGGGCGGGUCUUCGGAUACCGUCUUUAAUCAAACUCCGAAUACUUACAGGUGUAGCUCGGGAGUCAGACUAUGGGGGCUAAGCUCCAUUAGUCAAAAGGGAAACAGCCCAGAUCGCAAUCUAAGGUCCCUAAAUAUAUGCUAAGUGUAAAAGGUGGUGUCGCGACUGCGACAAUUAGGAGGUUGGCUUAGAAGCAGCCAUCCUUUAAAGAAAGCGUAAUAGCUCACUAGUCAAGUUGUCUCGCGCCGAAAAUGUACCGGGGCUAAGCAUAUUACCGAAGAUGCG
rnacentral:rRNA from 1 species